rnacentral:tRNA from 1 species
UCGGAUAUGGUGUAACGGUCAACAUUGCCGCCUCUCACGAGUCACGCGGCAGCUCGGGGUUCGAUUCCCCGUAUCCGAA